CCUACGGGAGGCAGCAGUGAGGGAUAUUGGUCAAUGGGGGAAACCCUGAACCAGCCACGCCGCGUGAGGGAAGACGGUUUUCGGAUUGUAAACCUUUGUCCUCUGUGAAGAUAAUGACGGUAGCAGAGGCGGAAGCUCCGGCUAACUACGUGCCAGCAGCCGCGGUAAUACGUAGGUGGCAAGCGUUAUCCGGAUUUAUUGGGUGUAACGGGCGUGUAGGCGGGUGCGCAAGUCAGAUGUGAAAACACAGGGCUCAACCCUGAGCCUGCAAUUGAAACUGUGUUUCUUGAGUGCUGGAGAGGCAAUCGGAAUUCCGGGUGUAGCGGUGAAAUGCGUAGAUAUACGGAGGAACACCAGUGGCGAAGGCGGAUUGCUGGACAGUAACUGACGUUGAGGCGCGAAAGCGUGGGGAGCAAACAGGAUUAGAUACCCCUGUAGUC
rnacentral:rRNA from 1 species